GUCUUGAAUUGACGCGUGAUGGCCGUUUGGUGGAGAUUGCUCCUCGUCAUCUUAGCCGCAAUUGAGCGUACCGGUUGCCGAAACUUAUUUCCAACCGAGCCAGAAUACAUUGCCCUGGGGUACUUCAAAAAGUCUCAAAAACUGCUGGACACACUUAUCAAUCAUGACUACCAGGACACGGUGCAGGAAAUUGCAAGAGCUAAUCGAGAUUAUCAGGAUACGAUACAGGAACUUGCAAGAGCUAAUCGAGAUUAUCCGGAUCUUGCCCGGGGGUUUAACAGAAAAGUCUCGAAGGUGUUAGAUGAAGAAAUUAGCCAAGAUUACGAACACGGCAUGGAUUCAUUCAGUCCCAUGAUAGGGAAGCGGCGCGUGCGCUCUCAAAAGAUGCGCCGCGAAAAGCUAAACCUUCAGGGUGUGCGAAGCCACCGUGCGCAUUCUCUUGACGCGGGACGUCGUCGGAGACUACAGCCCGAACGCCCCGAACCAACUUCAAACGGAUAUUAGGUUAUUCUUUUAGGUCUUAAGAGCAUGUUUUAUAAAAAUUAAUACAUUUUAAUACAUGAAUAC